UUAAGCGACUAAGCGUACACGGUGGAUGCCCUGGCAGUCAGAGGCGAUGAAGGACGUGCUAAUCUGCGAUAAGCGUCGGUAAGGUGAUAUGAACCGUUAUAACCGGCGAUUUCCGAAUGGGGAAACCCAGUGUGUUUCGACACACUAUCAUUAACUGAAUCCAUAGGUUAAUGAGGCGAACCGGGGGAACUGAAACAUCUAAGUACCCCGAGGAAAAGAAAUCAACCGAGAUUCCCCCAGUAGCGGCGAGCGAACGGGGAGGAGCCCAGAGCCUGAAUCAGUGUGUGUGUUAGUGGAAGCGUCUGGAAAGGCGCGCGAUACAGGGUGACAGCCCCGUACACAAAAAUGCACAUACUGUGAGCUCGAUGAGUAGGGCGGGACACGUGGUAUCCUGUCUGAAUAUGGGGGGACCAUCCUCCAAGGCUAAAUACUCCUGACUGACCGAUAGUGAACCAGUACCGUGAGGGAAAGGCGAAAAGAACCCCGGCGAGGGGAGUGAAAAAGAACCUGAAACCGUGUACGUACAAGCAGUGGGAGCCUCUUUAUGGGGUGACUGCGUACCUUUUGUAUAAUGGGUCAGCGACUUAUAUUCUGUAGCAAGGUUAACCGAAUAGGGGAGCCGAAGGGAAACCGAGUCUUAACUGGGCGUUAAGUUGCAGGGUAUAGACCCGAAACCCGGUGAUUCAGCCAUGGGCAGGUUGAAGGUUGGGUAACACUAACUGGAGGACCGAACCGACUAAUGUUGAAAAAUUAGCGGAUGACUUGUGGCUGGGGUGAAAGGCCAAUCAAACCGGGAGAUAGCUGGUUCUCCCCGAAAGCUAUUUAGGUAGCGCCCGUGAAUUCAUCUCCGGGGUAGAGCACUGUUUCGGCAAGGGGGUCAUCCCGACUUACCAACCCGAUGCAAACUGCGAAUACCGGAGAAUGUUAUCACGGGAGACACACGGCGGGUGCUAACGUCCGUCGUGAAGAGGGAAACAACCCAGACCGCCAGCUAAGGUCCCAAAGUCAUGGUUAAGUGGGAAACGAUGUGGGAAGGCCCAGACAGCGUGAUGUUGGCUUAGAAGCAGCCAUCAUUUAAAGAAAGCGUAAUAGCUCACUGGUCGAGUCGGCCUGCGCGGAAGAUGUAACGGGCUAAACCAUGCACCGAAGCUGCGGCAGCGACGCUUAUGCGUUGUUGGGUAGGGGAGCGUUCUGUAAGCCUGCGAAGGUGUGCUGUGAGGCAUGCUGGAGGUAUCAGAAGUGCGAAUGCUGACAUAAGUAACGAUAAAGCGGGUGAAAAGCCCGCUCGCCGGAAGACCAAGGGUUCCUGUCCAACGUUAAUCGGGGCAGGGUGAGUCGACCCUAAGGCGAGGCCGAAAGGCGUAGUCGAUGGGAAACAGGUUAAUAUUCCUGUACUUGGUGUUACUGCGAAGGGGGACGGAGAAGGCUAUGUUGGCCGGGCGACGGUUGUCCCGGUUUAAGCGUGUAGGCUGGUUUUCCGUGCAAAUCCGGAAAAUCAAGGCUGAGGCGUGAUGACGAGGCACUACGGUGCUGAAGCAACAAAUGCCCUGCUUCCGUGAAAAGCCUCUAAGCAUCAGGUAACAUCAAAUCGUACCCCAAACCGACACAGGUGGUCAGGUAGAGAAUACCAAGGCGCUUGAGAGAACUCGGGUGAAGGAACUAGGCAAAAUGGUGCCGUAACUUCGGGAGAAGGCACGCUGAUAUGUAGGUGAAGCGACUUGCUCGUGGAGCUGAAAUCAGUCGAAGAUACCAGCUGGCUGCAACUGUUUAUUAAAAACACAGCACUGUGCAAACACGAAAGUGGACGUAUACGGUGUGACGCCUGCCCGGUGCCGGAAGGUUAAUUGAUGGGGUUAGCGGUAACGCGAAGCUCUUGAUCGAAGCCCCGGUAAACGGCGGCCGUAACUAUAACGGUCCUAAGGUAGCGAAAUUCCUUGUCGGGUAAGUUCCGACCUGCACGAAUGGCGUAAUGAUGGCCAGGCUGUCUCCACCCGAGACUCAGUGAAAUUGAACUCGCUGUGAAGAUGCAGUGUACCCGCGGCAAGACGGAAAGACCCCGUGAACCUUUACUAUAGCUUGACACUGAACAUUGAGCCUUGAUGUGUAGGAUAGGUGGGAGGCUUUGAAGUGUGGACGCCAGUCUGCAUGGAGCCGACCUUGAAAUACCACCCUUUAAUGUUUGAUGUUCUAACGUUGGCCCGUAAUCCGGGUUGCGGACAGUGUCUGGUGGGUAGUUUGACUGGGGCGGUCUCCUCCUAAAGAGUAACGGAGGAGCACGAAGGUUGGCUAAUCCUGGUCGGACAUCAGGAGGUUAGUGCAAUGGCAUAAGCCAGCUUGACUGCGAGCGUGACGGCGCGAGCAGGUGCGAAAGCAGGUCAUAGUGAUCCGGUGGUUCUGAAUGGAAGGGCCAUCGCUCAACGGAUAAAAGGUACUCCGGGGAUAACAGGCUGAUACCGCCCAAGAGUUCAUAUCGACGGCGGUGUUUGGCACCUCGAUGUCGGCUCAUCACAUCCUGGGGCUGAAGUAGGUCCCAAGGGUAUGGCUGUUCGCCAUUUAAAGUGGUACGCGAGCUGGGUUUAGAACGUCGUGAGACAGUUCGGUCCCUAUCUGCCGUGGGCGCUGGAGAACUGAGGGGGGCUGCUCCUAGUACGAGAGGACCGGAGUGGACGCAUCACUGGUGUUCGGGUUGUCAUGCCAAUGGCACUGCCCGGUAGCUAAAUGCGGAAGAGAUAAGUGCUGAAAGCAUCUAAGCACGAAACUUGCCCCGAGAUGAGUUCUCCCUGAGACUUUAAGUCUCCUGAAGGAACGUUGAAGACGACGACGUUGAUAGGCCGGGUGUGUAAGCGCAGCGAUGCGUUGAGCUAACCGGUACUAAUGAACCGUGAGGCUUAACCU
rnacentral:rRNA from 1 species